AGGGUUUGAUCAUGGCUCAGAACGUACGCUGGCGGCACGCCUAACACAUGCAAGUCGAACGAAGUAGCAAUACUUAGUGGCAGACGGGUGAGUAACAUGUAGGUAUCUGCCCUUUGGCCUGGAAUAACACGAGGAAACUUGUGCUAAUACCGGAUAAGUCUUUACGGAGAAAGCUUUAUGCACCAUUGGAUGAGCCUGCACUUGAUUAGUUUGUUGGUGGGGUAAUGGCCUACCAAGACUGUGAUCAAUAGCUGAUUUGAGAGGAUGAUCAGCCACAUUGGGACUGAGACACGGCCCAAACUCCUACGGGAGGCAGCAGUGGGGAAUCUUGCACAAUGGAGGAAACUCUGAUGCAGCGAUGCCGCGUGAGUGAAGAAGGCCCUUGGGUUGUAAAGCUCUUUCGUCGGGGAAGAAAAUGACUGUACCCGAAUAAGAAGGUCCGGCUAACUUCGUGCCAGCAGCCGCGGUAAUACGAAGGGACCUAGCGUAGUUCGGAAUUACUGGGCUUAAAGAGUUCGUAGGUGGUUGAAAAAGUUAGUGGUGAAAUCCCAGAGCUUAACUCUGGAACUGCCAUUAAAACUUUUCAGCUAGAGUAUGAUAGAGGAAAGCAGAAUUUCUAGUGUAGAGGUGAAAUUCGUAGAUAUUAGAAAGAAUACCAAUUGCGAAGGCAGCUUUCUGGAUCAUUACUGACACUGAGGAACGAAAGCAUGGGUAGCGAAGAGGAUUAGAUACCCUCGUAGUCCAUGCCGUAAACGAUGUGUGUUAGACGUUGGAAAUUUAUUUUCAGUGUCGCAGGGAAACCGAUAAACACACCGCCUGGGGAGUACGACCGCAAGGUUAAAACUCAAAUGAAUUGACGGGGACCCGCACAAGUAGUGGAGCAUGUGGUUUAAUUCGAAGAUACGCGCAGAACCUUACCAACACUUGACAUGUUCGUCGCGACUCUAAGAGAUUAGAGUUUUCGGUUCGGCCGGACGAAACACAGGUGCUGCAUGGCUGUCGUCAGCUCGUGUCGUGAGAUGUUGGGUUAAGUCCCGCAACGAGCGCAACCCUCACUUUUAGUUGCCAUCAUUAAGUUGGGCACUCUGAAAGAACUGCCAGUGAUAAGCUGGAGGAAGGUGGGGAUGACGUCAAGUCCUCAUGGCCCUUACGUGUUGGGCUACACACGUGCUACAAUGGUAUCUACAACAGGAAGCAAGACUGCGAAGUUAAGCAAAUCCCUAAAAGAUACCUCAGUUCGGAUUGCACUCUGCAACUCGAGUGCAUGAAGCUGGAAUUACUAGUAAUCGUGGAUCAGCGUGCCACGGUGAAUGCGUUCCCGGGUCUUGUACACACCGCCCGUCACACCAUGGGAGUAGGUUUCACCAGAAG
rnacentral:rRNA from 1 species